GCUGUGGGGGAGAAACAGAUCAAUAUUUAAGCCAUUUUCUACUAUAAAUCUACACUUUCACUUUCACAUAUGACUCCAGUGGUUUAAUCCAUGUCUUCAGAAGUGAUAUGAUAGUUGUGGGUGAGAAACAGAUCAAUAUUUAAGGCAUUUUCUACUAUAAAUCUACACUUUCACUUUCACAUAUGACUCCAGUGGUUUAAUCCAUGUCUUCAGAAGUGAUAUGAUAGUUGUGGGUGAGAAACAGAUCAAUAUUUAAGGCAUUUUCUACUAUAAAUCUACACUUUCACUUUCACAUAUGACUCCAGUGGUUUAAUCCAUGUCUUCAGAAGUGAUAUGAUAGUUGUGGGUGAGAAACAGAUCAAUAUUUAAGGCAUUUUCUACUAUAAAUCUACACUUUCACUUUCACAUAUGACUCCAGUGGUUUAAUCCAUGUCUUCAGAAGUGAUAUGAUAGGUGUGGGUGAGAAACAGAUCAAUAUUUAAGCCAUUUUCUACUAUAAAUCUACACUUUCACUUUCACAUAUGACUCCAGUGGUUUAAUCCAUGUCUUCAGAAGUGAUAUGAUAGGUGUGGGGGAGAAACAGAUCAAUAUUUAAGCCAUUUUCUACUAUAAAUCUACACUUUCACUUUCAUAUAUGA